CAGCCGCCGCGGUAAUACGUAGGUCCCGAGCGUUGUCCGGAUUUAUUGGGCGUAAAGCGAGCGCAGGCGGUUAGAUAAGUCUGAAGUUAAAGGCUGUGGCUUAACCAUAGUACGCUUUGGAAACUGUUUAACUUGAGUACAAGAGGGGAGAGUGGAAUUCCAUGUGUAGCGGUGAAAUGCGUAGAUAUAUGGAGGAACACCGGUGGCGAAAGCGGCUCUCUGGCUUGUAACUGACGCUGAGGCUCGAAAGCGUGGGGAGCGAACAGGAUUAGAUACCCCCGUAGUCCCUGUCUCUUAUACA
rnacentral:rRNA from 1 species